AACGAACGCUGGCGGCAGGCUUAACACAUGCAAGUCGAACGGGUGUAGCAAUACAUCAGUGGCAGACGGGUGAGUAACACGUGGGAACCUUCCUAGGGGUACGGAACAACUCAGGGAAACUUGAGCUAAUACCGUAUACGUCCGUGAGGAGAAAGAUUUAUCGCCCUUAGACGGGCCCGCGUCGGAUUAGCUAGUUGGUGGGGUAACGGCCUACCAAGGCGACGAUCCGUAGCUGAUCUUAGAGGAUGAUCCGCCACACUGGGACUGAGACACGGGCCAGACGCCUGCGGGAGGCAGCAGUGGGGAGGCUGGGACGAUGGGCGCAAGCCUGAUCCAGCCAUGCCGCGUGAGGGAAGAAGGUCUUCGGAUUGUAAAGCUCUUUUGCCAGGGACGAUAAUGACGGUAUCUGGAGAAUAAGCCCCGGCAAACUUCGUGCCAGCCGCCGCAGUAAAAC
rnacentral:rRNA from 1 species